rnacentral:lncRNA from 1 species
GGAUUUUAUUGUACUCCGGUACGGGUUAAACCCGGACCGGAUUGUCCGGGUUCGUCCGGGUCCGGGCCGUGUCCAGAAAAAACUGCCAUCCCUAGUUGGCUUUACUAUAUGGAGUCGGUUUCCUCAACACUGUACUAAGUGUCUGUGGUGUUUCUCAAACAGGGAGGGGGACAUUUGAUAUAGAAGAAGAUCAAAUGAUGGCAAUUGUCACCAUCAAACCUUGCAAAGGAACAUUUAGAUCAGAACUCGUUCUAGAGAACAAGAAA